ACAUUUUCUCUCUCUAAAGACCAAAAUCUUCUUCUUUGUGCUCUGUCUUCUCUCUUAAAUCCUCCUUCACUAAAUCAUCUUCUCAACAAUCAGAACCUACAUAAGGAUUCCUGGCGUUGAGAGCUCGAAAUCCCACCGAUCAAUUUGGCAUUUCUCUAACUAGUGGUCUAGCACUUCCAGAAGUGAAAAGGGGCGUGCUUGAGGGUUUUCUUGAGCUAAAAAGAGGAAUUUUGUUACUGCAGUUUAGAGAGAUUUCAGAAGCCCCAUUGGAGCAACUUCUAGAUGUACCAGAUAUCUCAGACACUGCUGAUGCUGUAGAGUAGUGUAACUCAGUUAUCAUCUAUUGUACAU